rnacentral:rRNA from 1 species
CCUACGGGAGGCAGCAGUGAGGAAUAUUGGUCAAUGGGCGGGAGCCUGAACCAGCCAAGCCGCGUGAGGGAAGAAGGUACAGCGUAUCGUAAACCUCUUUUGUCAGGGAACAAAGGCGGGGACUAGUCCCCGGAUGAGGGUACCUGAAGAAAAAGCAUCGGCUAACUCCGUGCCAGCAGCCGCGGUAAUACGGAGGAUGCGAGCGUUAUCCGGAUUUAUUGGGUUUAAAGGGUGCGCAGGCGGCCUGUUAAGUCAGCGGGAAAAGCUUGGGGCUCAACCCCGGCGAGCCGUUGAAACUGGCGGGCUGGAGUUGGAGAGAAGUACGCGGAAUGCGCGGUGUAGCGGUGAAAUGCUUAGAUAUCGCGCAGAACCCCGAUUGCGAAGGCAGCGUACCGGCUCCACACUGACGCUGAGGCACGAAAGCGUGGGUAUCGAACAGGAUUAGAUACCCCAGUAGUC